AAUGAUGAGCCUGAAUAAAGGAAUAUCGUGAUAGGAUAAAACAUGUAGAACAUAAAUCUACCUUCAUUA
rnacentral:tRNA from 1 species